GUGCUUACUGCAGCAGCAUAUAUACUAUAAUUGGAAUGAUACAGAGAACAUUAACAUGGCCUCUGUGCAAAGUUGACACACCAAUUCAUGAAGCAUUUCAUAAUUUU
rnacentral:snRNA from 1 species